rnacentral:rRNA from 1 species
GACGUAGGGGGCGAGCGUUGUCCGGAUUUAUUGGGCGUAAAGCGUGCGUAGGCGGCUGCGCAAGUCGGUUGUGAAACCCCGGGGCUCAACCCCGGAACUGCAUCCGAUACUGCGUGGCUAGAGGUAGGUAGGGGAGAUCGGAAUUCCUGGUGUAGCGGUGAAAUGCGCAGAUAUCAGGAGGAACACCGGUGGCGAAGGCGGAUCUCUGGGCCUUACCUGACGCUCAGGCACGAAAGCUAGGGGAGCGAACUGG